GGACGAUUAGCUCAGUUGGUUCAGAGCGCCGCUUUCACACGGCGGAGGUCACUGGUUCAAAUCCAGUAUCGUCCA
rnacentral:tRNA from 1 species